UACGGAGGGGGCUAGCGUUGUUCGGAAUUACUGGGCGUAAAGCGCACGUAGGCGGACCAGCAAGUUGGGGGGUGAAAUCCCGGGGCUCAACCCCGGAACUGCCUUCAAAACUGUUGGUCUGGAGGUCGAGAGAGGUGAGUGGAAUUCCGAGUGUAGAGGUGAAAUUCGUAGAUAUUCGGAGGAACACCAGUGGCGAAGGCGGCUCACUGGCUCGAUACUGACGCUGAGGUGCGAAAGCGUGGGGAGCAAACAGG
rnacentral:rRNA from 1 species